rnacentral:rRNA from 1 species
AACUUUUAACAACGGAUCUCUUGGUUCUGGCAUCGAUGAAGAACGCNNNGAAAUGCGAUAAGUAAUGUGAAUUGCAGAAUUCAGUGAAUCAUCGAAUCUUUGAACGCACAUUGCGCCCCCUGGUAUUCCGGGGGGCAUGCCUGUUCGAGCGUCAU